GCGCUUUACAUUUGUAACUCAGUAUGAAGAAUAUAAUAAACAAUACUUGGUGGUGGAACUCUCUUAUCUAAUAAGUGAGAACUAAACCUAUAUAAAUAAAAUAUAAAAAAGGCUUAUC
rfam:Polaribacter reichenbachii strain KCTC 23969 LPB301_35, whole genome shotgun sequence.